AUGCAAGUCGCACGAGAACGCUUCAGCUUGCUGAAGCUAGUAAAGUGGCGCACGGGUGAGUAACGCGUGGGUAAUCUACCUCCAAAUUGGGGAUAACAUUUGCGAAAGCGAUGCUAAUACCGAAUGAUAUCUCAAAAACUUCGGUUUUUUGAGAUCAAAGGUGGCCGCUCCAUGGAAGCUACUGUUGGGAGAUGAGCCCGCGUACCAUUAGCUUGUUGGUAGGGUAAUGGCCUACCAAGGCUACGAUGGUUAGCUGGUCUGAGAGGAUGAUCAGCCACACUGGAACUGACACACGGUCCAGACUCCUACGGGAGGCAGCAGUGAGGAAUUUUGCGCAAUGGGGGAAACCCUGACGCAGCAACGCCGCGUGAGUGAUGAAGGCCUUCGGGUCGUAAAGCUCUGUCAAGUGGGAAGAACCUGCCCUGUGCUAAUAUCACCGGGCACUGACGGUACCACUGAAGGAAGCACCGGCUAACUCCGUG
rnacentral:rRNA from 1 species